GGAAAAGGGUUCUGCUAAGAAACCAUCUUACUAGAUUUCCAACAAGGAUGUUGAAUGCACCAGCUGCUUGGAAGAAAUAAAAGAGAUAUAUGUGAAAUAUACAUAAACGGAUGUGCAACACGACGAGAUCCAGUAUAUGCCAGUGUUUUUCAACCUUGCAACUUUAAGAUGUGUGGACUUCAGCUCCUAGAAUUCUCCAGCCAGCCAACCAAAUACUGGUAUAUACACAUCCCAAACCCUGCUGAGUAUUUUCAGCUGAAAACAAAAGAACCACAUUCAGGAGUGCACUACCAAUUUGGAACAAUGCAGCUCCAAAUGGCUGAGGCAUGGAGACAACAUCUCCUCUUCUUUUUCCUUCCUUCUGAUUGUUGGGAUCAAGGUGGUCAAGAGAGAGAAGAGUGAUUAAUGCUACCAGGUCUGUAUUCAAAGAACUGUUUGGAGAGUGUUAAUAUCAACGCCUUUAAAUUUGCUUAUUGACACAGGAAAACACCAUCCUUCAACCAACGAAAUGAAAUUUCACAGAUUCUUACUAAAGAUCCUGGUGAGGGAAAACAAGAAAUGAUCAACACCUAGAUCUGUCUUUCCUCCUCAAUAUAGACUCUAACAGUGCCCCUAAUGAAAAAUAAGAAAAUAAACUGAGUAAAGAAAAAACAUAAAACCAUUCAUUUAUUUAUUUAGCCAUGUGGCAACAUCUUCACUGGGCCCAGAUGUGCUUUGGCCCGGUUCACAAGGCCAAAAUGUAACUAUGUGAUGGAGGAUAUGAGUACUCGGAAUUUGUUCACUAUCAUACCUUUUUCAGCAGUUAUACCUUUCU